rnacentral:rRNA from 1 species
UACAGAGGUGGCAAGCGUUGUUCGGAAUUACUGGGCGUAAAGGGCGCGUAGGCGGCCAUCUAAGUCAGACGUGAAAUCCCCCGGCUUAACCUGGGAACUGCGUCUGAUACUGGACGGCUUGAGUAUGGGAGAGGGAUGUAGAAUUCCAGGUGUAGCGGUGAAAUGCGUAGAUAUCUGGAGGAAUACCGGUGGCGAAGGCGGCAUCCUGGACCAACACUGACGCUGAGUGAGCGAAAGCCAGGGGAGCAAACGGG